GAUGAACGCUGGCGGCGUGCCUAAUACAUGCAAGUCGAGCGAACAGAUGAGGAGCUUGCUCCUCUGACGUUAGCGGCGGACGGGUGAGUAACACGUGGAUAACCUACCUAUAAGACUGGGAUAACUUCGGGAAACCGGAGCUAAUACCGGAUAAUAUAUUGAACCGCAUGGUUCAAUAGUGAAAGACGGUUUUGCUGUCACUUAUAGAUGGCUCCGCGCCGCAUUAGCUAGUUGGUAAGGUAACGGCUUACCAAGGCGACGAUGCGUAGACGACCUGAGAGGGUGAUCGGCCACACUGGAACUGAGACACGGUCCAGACUCCGACGGGAGGCAGCAGUAGGGAAUCUUCCGCAAUGGGCGAGAGCCGGACGGAGCAACGCCGCGUGAGUGAUGAAGGUCUUCGGAUCGUAAAACUCUGUUAUUAUGGAAGAACAAAUGUGUAAGUAACUAUGCACGUCUUGACGGUACCGAAUCAGAAAGCCACGGCUAACUACGUG
rnacentral:rRNA from 1 species